UCUCCCAUUCUCUCUCUAGACUAGAACCGCCCCUGUUGACCCAUUUUCUUGAAAUCUAAACCCUAAUCUUGAUUAAACACUCUCAAAACCUCCAAAUCUUCAUCUAUUUCUCAUUCUUCCACAAUCUUUUUGUCCCCUUCCUCUUCUCAUCAUCCCGAAGCUUCGUCGGAGCGUCGCCCUCUGCACUGCUUCCUUCCUUCCUACCAUUUCCAAAGAAAAGCAUACAAAAUAGUUCGAAUAGAGAACAAUUGGGUGAAUAUGUGGGGGCACAGGGGAGCAAGUCAUAUGCGGCGCACAGAGCAAACAAACAAAUAUAAGCCCUAUUGUGUUUCAUAAGAUGGUGCAUUGGGAUGAAAAGACUGGUUGGAGUGAUUCUUUGGCAGAGCAACAUUAUGAGGAUAUGAUUCGAAUUCGCGAAGCACAACAAGAAAUUGAGGAGCAAAAUGAAGAAGGGACAUUUCCGCCACGCAACAAUCGCCUUUCAGAUUAAGAAAUUGUGGAUCGAGUUUGUAAACCCAAAUCAGUAUACAUAAAGGGCUUGGGAAAUAAGACUGUUGAUUCGAAGAGGACUCUCCAUGGUUGUUCUUCCUCUUUCUCUUCUCAACAUCCAGAAUAUGAAGUGUUAUCCCAGCGAUUCAGUGACUAUAGACAAUUUCAGGAGGCAAAAAAUCUCCAGACUCAACAAACAAUUGAUCAUUUAACUGAACUGAUGCGGUCUCAAUUUCCUCACCUUUUCCCACAAUAUGGACCGCCCUCGCUGCCACCUCAAUGAACAAAUUUGGUUUUCUUUACUACUCUCUAGUAUUUACCUUGCACUUAGUUUUAAAUUAUAACUUAUUUUUUUAUUGGACUUAGAUGUUCUUACUGAAGACUUGUACUAAUUACUUAUGAUGGCAACCUAGAUCUUUU